rnacentral:sRNA from 1 species
AACUAGCCCUGAUUGUAAUGAAAAUCCUAUGCUGAAAGCAUAGAUUGAAAUGGAAAGCAGGAAAAUGG